AUUGAACGCUGGCGGCAGGCCUAACACAUGCAAGUCGAGCGGAUGAAGGGAGCUUGCGCCUGGAUUCAGCGGGGGACGGGUGAGUAAUGCAUAGGAAGAUGCCUGGUAGUGGGGGAUAACGUCAGGAAAGGGGCGCUAAUACCGCAUACGUCCUGAGGGAGAAAGGGGGGGAUCUUCGGACCUCACGCUAUCAGAUGAGACUAGGCCGGAUUAGCUAGUUGGUGAGGUAAAGGCCUACCAAGGCGACGAUCCGUAACUGGUCUGAGAGGAUGAUCAGUCACACUGGAACUGAGACACGGUCCAGACUCCUACGGGAGGCAGCAGUAGGGAAUAUUCGGCAAUGGGCGAAAGCCUGACGCAGCCAUGCCGCGUGUGUGAUGAAGGUCUUCGGAUUGUAAAGCACUUUAAGUUGGGAGGAACGGCAGUAAGUUAAUACCUUGCUGUUUUGACGUUACCAACAGAAAAAGCCCCGGCUAACUUCGUG
rnacentral:rRNA from 1 species